UGGUCAUUACCAAGGUUGCUAGGAUGUUGUUCCUAGUGAGCUGUGGACAUGACCGUAAAGCAAGUCCAUUAGACUCUAAAUUGCCACAUAACAUGGCAGUGAGUCAGAUGGAAUAAAGC